GCUGGGCAUGGUGGUGCAUGCCUGUAAUUUCAGAAACUUUGGAGGCUGAGUAAGGAGGAUCACAAGGUUGAGGCCAGUCUCAGCAAUUUAGCGAGGCCCUGAGCAACUUAGUGAGAUCCUCUCUCAA
rnacentral:sRNA from 1 species